rnacentral:rRNA from 1 species
CGGUGUCGCAGCUAACGCGUUAAGUUCUCCCGCCUGGGGAGUACGCCGGCAACGGUAAAACUCAAAGGAAUUGACGGGGACCCGCACGAGCGGUGGAGCAUGUGGUUUAAUUCGAUGCAACGCGAAGAACCUUACCUGUCCCUUGACAUUGACAGAACCCUGUAGAGAUACGGGGGUGCUUCGGCCUGGAAAACAGGUGCUGCAUGGCUGUCGUCAGCUCGUGUCGUGAGAUGUUGGGUUAAGUCCCGCAACGAGCGCAACCCUUGUCCUUAGUUGCCAGCACUUCGGGUGGGGACUCUAGGGAGACUGCCGGUGACAAACCGGGGGAAGGUGGGGACGACGUCAAGUCAUCAUGGCCCUUAUGGGCAGGGCUACACACGUGCUACAAUGGGGAGUACAGAGGGCCGCCAACCAGCAAUGAGAGCC